rnacentral:rRNA from 1 species
AGCCUGACGCAGCCAUGCCGCGUGAAUGAUGAAGGUCUUAGGAUUGUAAAAUUCUUUCACCGGGGACGAUAAUGACGGUACCCGGAGAAGAAGCCCUCGGCUAACUUCGUGCCAGCUAGCCGCGGUAAUACGAAGGGGGCUAGCGUUGCUCGGAAUUACUGGGCGUAAAGGGCGCGUAGGCGGAUCGUUAAGUCAGAGGUGAAAUCCCAGGGCUCAACCCUGGAACUGCCUUUGAUACUGGCGAUCUUGAGUAUGAGAGAGGUAUGUGGAACUCCGAGUGUAGAGGUGAAAUUCGUAGAUAUUCGGAAAGAACACCAGUGGCGAAGGCGACAUACUGGCUCAUUACUGACGCUGAGGCGCGAAAGCGUGGGGAGCAAACAGGAUUAGAUACCCUGGUAGUCCACGCCGUAAACGAUGAUUGCUAGUUGUCGGGCUGCCAUGCCAGUUCGGUGACGCCAGCUAACGCCAUAAAGCCAAUCCGCCUGGG